UACGAAGGGGGCUAGCGUUGUUCGGAAUUACUGGGCGUAAAGCGCACGUAGGCGGAUAUUUAAGUCAGGGGUGAAAUCCCAGAGCUCAACUCUGGAACUGCCUUUGAUACUGGGUAUCUUGAGUAUGGAAGAGGUAAGUGGAAUUGCGAGUGUAGAGGUGAAAUUCGUAGAUAUUCGCAGGAACACCAGUGGCGAAGGCGGCUUACUGGUCCAUUACUGACGCUGAGGUGCGAAAGCGUGGGGAGCAAACA
rnacentral:rRNA from 1 species